rnacentral:rRNA from 1 species
AGAGUUUGAUCCUGGCUCAGAACGAACGUUGGCGGCGUGGAUUAGGCAUGCAAGUCGUACGGACCUGGGGGCAACUCCAGGUUAGUGGCGAACGGGUGAGUAACGCGUGGGAAACGUGCCCUCGAGAUGGGGAUAACACCUCCAACGGGGUGCUAAUACCGGAUAAGACCACGGAAUCGCAUGGUUCCGCGGUCAAAGGUGGCCUCUACUUGUAAGCUACCGCUUGAGGAUCGUCCCGCGUCCCAUUAGCUAGUUGGUAGGGUAAUGGCCUACCAAGGCUACGAUGGGUAGCUGGUCUGAGAGGAUGGUCAGCCACACUGGGACUGAGAUACGGCCCAGACUCCUACGGGAGGCAGCAGUCGAGAGGCUUCGGCAAUGGGGGAAACCCUGACCGAGCGACGCCGCGUGGGCGAUGAAGGCCGUUAGGUUGUAAAGCCCUGUCGAGUGGGAAGAAACGCACGGGAGCGAACAGUUCUCGUGUCUGACGGUACCGCUAAAGGAAGCUCCGGCCAACUCCGUGCCAGCAGCCGCGGUAAUACGGGGGGAGCAAACGUUGUUCGGAAUUACUGGGCGUAAAGGGCGUGCAGGCGGCUCGAUAAGAGAGAUGUGAAAUGCCCUGGCUCAACCAGGGAACUGCAUCUCUGACUGUCGAGCUUGAGCAUGGGAGAGGAUGCGGGAAUUCCCGGUGUAGCGGUGAAAUGCAUUGAUAUCGGGAGGAACACCAGUGGCGAAGGCGCGCAUCUGGCCCAUUGCUGACGCUCAGGCGCGAAAGCUAGGGGAGCAAACAGGAUUAGAUACCCUGGUAGUCCUAGCCGUAAACGGUGGGCACUAGGUGUAGGAGGCAUCGACCCCUCCUGUGCCGCAGCUAACGCAUUAAGUGCCCCGCCUGGGGAGUACGACCGCAAGGUUGAAACUCAAAGGAAUUGACGGGGGCCCGCACAAGCGGUGGAGCAUGUGGUUUAAUUCGAUACAACGCGAAGAACCUUACCCAGACUUGACAUGCACUGGACCGGUGUGGAAACACACCUUCCCUUCGGGGCCGGUGCACAGGUGCUGCAUGGCUGUCGUCAGCUCGUGUCGUGAGAUGUUGGGUUAAGUCCCGCAACGAGCGCAACCCUUGUCCUUAGUUGCCAGCAAGUUACGUUGGGCACUCUAGGGAGACUGCCGUCGAUAAGGCGGAGGAAGGUGGGGAUGACGUCAAGUCCUCAUGGUCCUUACGUCUGGGGCUACACACGUGCUACAAUGGCCGGACCAAAGGGUUGCAAUACCGCGAGGUGGAGCCAAUCCCACAACCCCGGCCUCAGUUCAGAUCGCAGUCUGCAACUCGACUGCGUGAAGGCGGAAUCGCUAGUAAUCGCUGAUCAGCAGGCAGCGGUGAAUAUGUUCCCGGGCCUUGUACACACCGCCCGUCAAGCCACGAAAGUUGGCAGUACCCGACGUCGCAUCUCUAACCGUAAGGAGGAGUGCGCCUAAGGUAAGGCCACUGAUUGGGGCUAAGUCGUAACAAGGUAGCCGUACCGGGAGGUGCGGCUG